rnacentral:rRNA from 1 species
AGGAUGAACGCUGGCGGCGUGCCUAAUACAUGCAAGUCGAACGAGUCCUUCGGGACGAGUGGCGGACGGGUGAGUAACACGUUGGUACCUGCCCCGAAGUGGGGAAUAACUGCCCGAAAGGGUGGCUAAUACCGCAUAAUACCGCAAGGUUAAAGCAGUAAUGCGCUUCGGGAGGGGCCUGCGUCCCAUUAGCUAGUUGGUAGGGUAAUGGCCUACCAAGGCGACGAUGGGUAGCUGGAUCGAGAGGUUGACCAGCCACACUGGGACUGAGAUACGGCCCAGACUCCUACGGGAGGCAGCAGUAAGGAAUCUUCCACAAUGGACGAAAGUCUGAUGGAGCAACGCCGCGUGCAGGAUGACGGUCUUCGGAUUGUAAACUGCUUUUAUAUGGGAAGAUUAUGACGGUACCAUAUGAAUAAGGACCGGACUAACUACGCGCUAGCAGCCGC